rnacentral:rRNA from 1 species
UACGAAGGGUGCAAGCGUUAAUCGGAAUUACUGGGCGUAAAGCGUGCGUAGGCGGUUGGUUAAGUCUGUCGUGAAAGCCCUGGGCUCAACCUGGGAAUGGCGAUGGAUACUGGCCAGCUAGAGUGUGAUAGAGGAUGGCGGAAUUCCCGGUGUAGCGGUGAAAUGCGUAGAGAUCGGGAGGAACAUCCGUGGCGAAGGCGGCCAUCUGGAUCAACACUGACGCUGAGGCACGAAAGCGUGGGGAGCAAACAGGAUUAGAAACCCGGUAGUCC